rnacentral:lncRNA from 1 species
GGAAAUCUUCGCGUUGGAAAAGGGAAUUUUUAUGAGACUGCAAAGAAGCAUAAAAUGAAUAGACAAUCCAACCAACCAAAGACCGGGGGCAGCAGCAGGCCAGCAAGACGGCAUCUUCUCCUUCCCAGCCUAGAAGCCCUGUGAAAUCGAGGAUCUUCCCCCUAAAACACAUACACACAAGAUAUGUGCAAUCAAGCUGCCACCGCUUGGUAAAAAGCCAUGGUGCCUAACCAAAAAGGAUCAGGAACAGAUCCUUGAAUCAGCUGUCACUUCUAUAGAAUGGGAUUUUUUUUUCCUUCCUCCUUAACCUGCGCUGGAAAUUGCCGUUGGCUUUAUACAUCUCUAUAGAGAGAGGCUAAAGAGUCUUGCGUGAGAAAGAAGCAAUUUACAAUGCAAAUAGAGGCCUGUGAAGGGACGGAUGCUGCUGCUCACUCGUAACAGCUUGCUGCACCUUAAUAGCUGGUUUUAUUUUCUGAUAUUAAUAGAUGAAUUGUUGGCUAACGCUGCCGGAGAUUACUUGCUGAAAGGAAAAAGAAAAGUUCGGAAUAAACUCUGAAGGCAACAGAUCUCGUUUGGAUGUUUUAGCCGCGCACACACACAAACAGAAACCAGGUCAUAUUUACAUAAAAGGAGGAAUCUUAAGCGCGGCAAGUAUCCUGGACGACCACUCUUCGGUACUGCCAGAAAGGAUCAGGACCUGGAGUCUGGCAAGAGGAAGA